ACUUGCUCCGGAUGUUAGCGGCGGACGGGUGAGUAACACGUGGGUAACCUGCCUGUAAGACUGGGAUAACUCCGGGAAACCGGAGCUAAUACCGGAUAGUUCCUUGAACCGCAUGGUUCAAGGAUGAAAGACGGUUUCGGCUGUCACUUACAGAUGGACCCGCGGCGCAUUAGCUAGUUGGUGAGGUAACGGCUCACCAAGGCGACGAUGCGUAGCCGACCUGAGAGGGUGAUCGGCCACACUGGGACUGAGACACGGCCCAGACUCCUACGGGAGGCAGCAGUAGGGAAUCUUCCGCAAUGGACGAAAGUCUGACGGAGCAACGCCGCGUGAGUGAUGAAGGUUUUCGGAUCGUAAAGCUCUGUUGUUAGGGAAGAACAAGUGCAAGAGUAACUGCUUGCACCUUGACGGUACCUAACCAGAAAGCCACGGCUAACUACGUGCCAGCAGCCGCGGUAAUACGUAGGUGGCAAGCGUUGUCCGGAAUUAUUGGGCGUAAAGGGCUCGCAGGCGGUUUCUUAAGUCUGAUGUGAAAGCCCCCGGCUCAACCGGGGAGGGUCAUUGGAAACUGGGAAACUUGAGUGCAGAAGAGGAGAGUGGAAUUCCACGUGUAGCGGUGAAAUGCGUAGAGAUGUGGAGGAACACCAGUGGCGAAGGCGACUCUCUGGUCUGUAACUGACGCUGAGGAGCGAAAGCGUGGGGAGCGAACAGGAUUAGAUACCCUGGUAGUCCACGCCGUAAACGAUGAGUGCUAAGUGUUAGGGGGUUUCCGCCCCUUAGUGCUGCAGCUAACGCAUUAAGCACUCCGCCUGGGGAGUACGGUCGCAAGACUGAAACUCAAAGGAAUUGACGGGGGCCCGCACAAGCGGUGGAGCAUGUGGUUUAAUUCGAAGCAACGCGAAGAACCUUACCAGGUCUUGACAUCCUCUGACAACCCUAGAGAUAGGGCUUUCCCUUCGGGGACAGAGUGACAGGUGGUGCAUGGUUGUCGUCAGCUCGUGUCGUGAGAUGUUGGGUUAAGUCCCGCAACGAGCGCAACCCUUGAUCUUAGUUGCCAGCAUUCAGUUGGGCACUCUAAGGUGACUGCCGGUGACAAACCGGAGGAAGGUGGGGAUGACGUCAAAUCAUCAUGCCCCUUAUGACCUGGGCUACACACGUGCUACAAUGGACAGAACAAAGGGCUGCGAGACCGCAAGGUUUAGCCAAUCCCACAAAUCUGUUCUCAGUUCGGAUCGCAGUCUGCAACUCGACUGCGUGAAGCUGGAAUCGCUAGUAAUCGCG
rnacentral:rRNA from 1 species